rnacentral:rRNA from 1 species
UGUAAGCGUAUACCAAAGUUGUUGCAGUUAAAACGCUCGUAGUCGGAAUUUGGCAGUUCCGGAUGUGUGCACGUCGUGUGCGCACUUCGCGGGGAUUGCUUUUGUGGUCUUGCGUAGGAUGAGGCACUUUUAUUAGUGAACGUCCUCACGCAACCACUUUUUACUGUGAGAAAAUCAGAGUGCUCAAAGCAGGCAUUUGCCGUGAAUGUAUUAGCAUGGAAUGAUAGAAUAGGACUUGGUUCUAUUUUGUUGGUUUGUUGGGACUGAGUAAUGAUUAAGAGGGACAGUUGGGGGCAUUUGUAUUUCGGUGCUAGAGGUGAAAUUCUUAGAUUACCGAAAGACAAACUGCUGCGAAAGCGUCUGCCAAGGAUGUUUUCAUUGA